GGCUUUUUUUGAGUGGUAGGCUCUUAAUUGCUGCCUCGACUUCUGAGCUUGUUAUUGGUCUAUUCAUAGUUUUAGCUUCCUCCUGGUUUAGGCUUGGGAGGACACAGGAGUCCAGGAAUUUAUCCAUUUCUUCCAGGUUUACUAGUUUAUGUGCAUAGAAUUGUUUGUAAUAUUCUCUGAUGAUGGUUUGAAUUUCUGUGGAAUCUGUGGUGAUUUCCCCUUUAUCAUUUUUUAUUGCAUCUAUUUGGUUGUUCUCUCUUUUAUUUUUAAUCAGUCUGGCUAGUGGUCUAUUUUGUUGAUCUUUUCAAAAAACCAGCUCUUGGAUUUAUUGAGUUUUUGAAGGGUUUUUCGUGUCUCUAUCUCUUUCAGCUCAGCUCUGAUCUUAGUUAUUUCUUGUCUUCUGCUUGGUUUUGAGUUUUUUUGAUCUUGCUCCUCUAGCUCUUUCAAUUUUGACGAUAGGGUGUCAAUUUUGGAUCUCUCCAUUCUCCUCAUAUGGGCACUUAUUGCUAUAUACUUUCCUCUAGAGUGUCCCAGAGGUUCUGGCAUGUUGUGUCUUCGUUCUCAUUGGUUUUGAAGAACUUCUUUAUUUCUGUCUUCAUUUCAUUGUUUACCCAGUCAACAUUCAAGAGCCAGUUGUUCAGUUUCCAUGAAGCUGUGGGGUUCUGGGUUGGUUUCUGUAUUCUGAGUUCUAAUUUGAUUACACUAUGGUCUGAGAGGCUGUCUGUUAUAAUUUCAGUUGUUUUGCAUUUGUUGAGCAGUGCUUUACUUCCAAUUAUGUGGUCGAAUUUAGAGUAGGUGUGAUGUGGUGCUGAGAAGAAUGUGUAUUCUGUGGAUUUGGGGUGGAGAGUUCUGUAAAUGUCUAUCAGGUUUGCUUCCUCCAGGUCUGAGUUCAAGCCCUGGAUAUCCUUGUUGAUUUUCUGUCUGGUUGAUCUGUCUAAUAUUGACAGUGGAGUGUUAAAGUCUCCCACUAUUAUUGUGUCGGAGUCUAAGUCUCUUUUGUAAGUCAUUAAGAACUUGCCUUACGUAUCUGGGUGCUCCUGCAUUGGGCCCAUAUAUGUUUAGGAUCGUUAGCUCUUCUUGUUGUAUCGAUCCUUUUACCAUUAUGUAAUGGCCUUCUUUGUCUCUUU
rnacentral:lncRNA from 13 species